AAAAAAUUAGUUAAAUUAAUAACAUUAGUAUGUCAAACUAAAAUUAUCUAAAUCAUAGAUAUUUUUUA
rnacentral:tRNA from 1 species